rnacentral:rRNA from 1 species
UACGUAGGGUGCGAGCGUUGUCCGGAAUUAUUGGGCGUAAAGAGCUCGUAGGCGGCCAGUUGCGUCUGCUGUGAAAUCCCGGGGCUCAACCUCGGGCGUGCAGUGGAUACGGGCUGGCUAGAGGCAGGCAGGGGAGAACGGAAUUCCCGGUGUAGCGGUGAAAUGCGCAGAUAUCGGGAGGAACACCGGUGGCGAAGGCGGUUCUCUGGGCCUGUACUGACGCUGAGGAGCGAAAGCGUGGGGAGCGAACAGG